AUUGAACGCUGGCGGCAGGCUUAACACAUGCAAGUCGAGCGGAGAUGAGGUGCUUGCACCUUAUCUUAGCGGCGGACGGGUGAGUAAUGCUUAGGAAUCUGCCUAUUAGUGGGGGACAACAUUCCGAAAGGAAUGCUAAUACCGCAUACGUCCUACGGGAGAAAGCAGGGGAUCUUCGGACCUUGCGCUAAUAGAUGAGCCUAAGUCGGAUUAGCUAGUUGGUGGGGUAAAGGCCUACCAAGGCGACGAUCUGUAGCGGGUCUGAGAGGAUGAUCCGCCACACUGGGACUGGAACACGGCCCAGACUCCUACGGGAGGCAGCAGUGGGGAAUAUUGGACAAUGGGGGAAACCCUGAUCCAGCCAUGCCGCGUGUGUGAAGAAGGCCUUAUGGUUGUAAAGCACUUUAAGCGAGGAGGAGGCUACUGAGACUAAUACUCUUGGAUAGUGGACGUUACUCGCAGAAUAAGCACCUGCUAACCACGUGCCAGCCGCCGCAGUAA
rnacentral:rRNA from 1 species